rnacentral:rRNA from 1 species
UACGUAGGGUGCUAGCGUUGUCCGGAAUUAUUGGGCGUAAAGAGCUCGUAGGUGGCCUGUCGCGUCGGCUGUGAAAACUCGGGGCUCAACUCCGAGCUUGCAGUCGAUACGGGCAGGCUAGAGUUCGGCAGGGGAGACUGGAAUUCCUGGUGUAGCGGUGAAAUUCGUAGAUAUCGAGAGGAACACCGGUGGCGAAGGCGGCCAACUGGACGAAUACUGACGCUGAGACUCGAAAGCGUGGGGAGCGAGCAGG